rnacentral:tRNA from 1 species
CCGGGAUAGCUCAGCUGGUAAAGCAAAGGACUGA